rnacentral:lncRNA from 1 species
AAAAGUACUUCCUUUUAUCAUGAACCCUAAACCUAUUCUCAACCCUAAAACCCUAUCUUCAAAUAUUUCUAGUACAACAAAUGAUCCACCAUCUAUAAAAACAAAUGUUGAAUCCCCAAUAUCUACCGCAAAGUUUGCUCGACCAAAGACGCUGAAACCCCAUCAAUAAUCACCACUUCUCUUCUUAAAACCCUCUGAUGCAACACAACCACGAAAACUGAAACUCACCGAAUGUCCCAAACUUGCAAAAUGGGAACCAACCUCAACACUGGAAGCCACAGACCUUUCCAACUCUAGAGGAAAACAUCCUCCUAUAUCAAAACAAUUGGACAUUAACUUGGAUGCCGCCACCAGUGAACGAAACGACACUCAAUAAUGCUAUAUCGAUGGACCUAUUCCCUCCUAUUAUCACACUAUUAGAAUUAAUUAAAAAUUACCAUAAUUUGGUGAACGCCCACUAUAUACAGAACCAACAUCUAAUAGACCUACAUCUAAUAGAUCUUGGAGAGACGGUGUUACAUAUGCAAAUGAACUUAAUGCCAGAAAAUAAUACAAACAUAAGUUGGGACUCAUCCCAAUAGAUGAACUAUUCAAAUUGGUCCACUCCCCACAUGCAAACCAUGUCACUUACGCGGGAAGUAAUGACUCACGACCAAGAAGUGCCAGAGAUACAUGAAAAUAAUAUUCCAUUGCCACAACUUUAAUCGUCUAAUUUCUACAAUAAUAUACAAUACCAAAUGCAGAAGCACAAGGAAAAAAUACCAAACGAUGUCACUUAGGUAAUGACUUCGAUCACACUCGAGGAUUUACUAAUGUUUACUUUUAGACAAAGUGUAGAAGAACGUGUUCCGGUGAUAAUCUAGCCGCAAGUUCCAAAGUUUUCAGGAAACAUCAAAUCUUACCCAGUGAAUCACAUGCUUCAGUAUGCCAUCUUGUUGGUAGCAGCAAAGAGGGAAAGCAGAGACUUCUCCUUGUUUUAGAACCAAAUUGUGAUAAACCUCAAGAUAUCACUGGCACCAGGAGGGGCCUUAUCACUUCGGACAGAAUCAUCUAUGAAGAUUAUCAUCUGGAACUGUAGGGGAGGAAAUAACUCGGGCUUUAGAAGGAAUGUACUGGAAAUUAUCGCUACUCACAAUCCUACAAUCCUCGCUCUCACAGAAACUAGAUUAUCAGAUUAAGAGGCACUUAUGCAGCUCUUACAAUUUAUAGAUGUUAUACAUGUGCCGACUUCAGGGUACUCAUG